rnacentral:rRNA from 1 species
UACGAAGGGGGCUAGCGUUGUUCGGAAUUACUGGGCGUAAAGGGCUGGUAGGUGGCCAACUAAGUCGGAUGUGAAAUCCCCAGGCUUAACCUGGGAACUGCAUCCGAUACUGGUCGGCUUGAAUCCGGGAGAGGGAUGCAGAAUUCCAGGUGUAGCGGUGAAAUGCGUAGAUAUCUGGAGGAACACCGGUGGCGAAGGCGGCAUCCUGGACCAACACUGACACUGAGGAGCGAAAGCCAGGGGAGCAAACGGG